CGCUACUACGGGCUCCUUCACACCGUACAACCGCGCUCCGUGGCCACUGCACACAGUGCACUUAUUCGACUACCAGUAUUGCUCUACGCGGGAUUCUUGUUUGACGAAUUGGUUCUUGUUGUAGCUUACCUGGUGGCUGGUGGAAAGGGAUUGUAGGUUGGAGUUCUUAAUCUAAAGAUGACUACAUUAUGUAGAAGCACAAGGGAUGAAACACUUGAAGAGCUUGAGGAGUAUAAGAGAACGUCUGAUGAGAGAGCAAGGAAAAUGGAAGAAGAUUUGACUAAGCUUACGCAGGCUUUGAUGAGAUUUACUAAAAGGGGCAAUGGCGAUAACAUUUGACAUGGAGCAAAGGAACAGCUACUACACAAGCUUUGGAGGAUUGAGAAUCUGGCAGAAUUGGAUCCAGUAGAACUAGUAGUAUUAUGUAUGUUUUUGGGAACAAGCUAACUAGUUUAGUUUUCUUUAUAUAUGUAUGUUUUUGGGAUAUUAUCAGUACUUCUUGAGAAGAGAAUUGAACAAUGAAUAUUGUUUUUCUAUUAUGAA